GUAGGGAAUAUUGCACAAUGGAGGAAACUCUGAUGCAGCGACGCCGCGUGAGUGAUGAAGGCCUUCGGGUCGUAAAGCUCUGUCGCAGGGGAAUAACACAAUGAAGGUACCCUGUAAGAAAGGAUCGGCUAACUUCGUGCCAGCAGCCGCGGUAAGACGAGGGAUCCUAGCGUUGUUCGGAAUCAUUGGGCGUAAAGCGGAUGUAGGUGGCUAUGUAAGUCAGAUGUGAAAGCCUGGGGCUCAACCCCAGAAGUGCAUUUGAUACUGCGUAGCUUGAGUGUCGGAGAGGUUACUAGAAUUGUUGGUGUAGUGGUGAAAUACGUAGAUAUCAACAGGAAUACCGGAGGCGAAGGCGGGUAACUGGCCGAACACUGACACUGAGAUCCGAAAGCGUGGGGAUCAAACAGGAUUAGAUACCCCGGUAGUUC
rnacentral:rRNA from 1 species